rnacentral:rRNA from 1 species
AGCUAAUACCCUAUACGCUAUCUUUUUUCGUAAAAGGAUAGGAAAGCCGAGUCGAGGACCUGGUACUCAAGGAGGGGCUCAUGUCCUAUCAGCUUGUUGGUGGGGUAACGGCCUACCAAGGCUACGACGGGUAGCUGGUCUGAGAGGAUGAUCAGCCACACUGGCACUGAGAUACGGGCCAGACUCCUACGGGAGGCAGCAGUGAGGAAUAUUGCGCAAUGGGCGAAAGCCCUGACGCAGCGACGCCGCGUGGGGGAUGAAGGUUUUCGGAUUGUAAACCCCUUUCAUGAGGGAAAGAUAAAGUGGGUAACCACUUAGACGGUACCUCAAGAAGAAGCCACGGCUAACUUCGUG